CCCUUAGAUGUUCUGGGCUGCACGCGCGCUACACUGCUGCAAUUAACGGGUUUUCUGUGCCGAAAGGCUUGGGGAAUCCUUUGAAUAUGCGGCGUGAUGGGGAUAGAAUAUUGUAAUUAUUACUCUUCAACGAGGAAUUCCUAGUAAGCGCGGGUCAGCAGCCCGCGCUGAUUACGUCCCUGCCCUUUGUACACACCGCCCGUCGCUACUACCGAUUGAAUGAUUUAGUGAGGACUUCGGACUGGGACCGAUGCGGCUUUCGGGCUGCGUCGGUAUUCUGGAAAGAUGUCCAAACUGUAUCAUUUAGAGGAAGUAAAAGUCGUAACA
rnacentral:rRNA from 1 species